UUCCCUUUAAUUCUUUUCCCUCUGCUUCCAGCUUGCAGGCAUUGUCUUCCUGCGAUGUCUGAACUGGCAAGAAAUCUGCUCCCAGGAGUAUGGUCCAGAAUGACUGUCAUGUUGCCUAUGGAAGGCAAUUCCAUGGAAAGUCCACUCUGGUGUCUUGUACUUUUGAGCUCUGAAUGAAUACAGAGAGAGAAAGAGAAAGCCAAGAGAGCAAGAAGCUGAAAGCAACGAAGCCUGGAAGAGAAAGGAGAGACCAGUAGACACCGCUGGUGCCUUGUCAUGUGGCAGAAGAGCCGAAGGUCACCAGCAGCUAGUCUUUGGGGAGAAAGCAUCACCUUGGCAAUGCCUUGAUUUGGACAUUCUCACUGCCUCAAACUGUAAGCUAAUAAACUCCCAUUGUU